rnacentral:misc_RNA from 1 species
UUAAGUUCAGCGGGUAUUCCUACCCGAUCCGAGGUCAACUUGAAUUGAUUAAGGUUAACGGCGUGGCCGCCCCUCUCACCAGCGAGAUUGUACAACGCUUGAGAGAUCGGGGUCGUCCAGCCGGCGAAAUCGGGGCGCGGGGAGGUCCCGUCGCCCAAUACCAAGCCAGGCUUGAUGGGUGUUAAUGACGCUCGAACGGG